rnacentral:rRNA from 1 species
CGUCUUGAAACACGGACCAAGGAGUCUAGCAUGUUCGCAAGUCAAUGGGAUUUUGAUUAAACCCAAAGGCAUAAUGAAAGUGACGAAUUUGUUUUUCACAAACAAAUUCAAGGGAAGCCGUAUAUAUAGUAAAAUGUAUAUUCUGCAUUCCCGGGGCGUCUCAUUCUCAUUGCGAGAGCAGAGGCGCACCAUAAGCGAAUACGCUGGGACCCGAAAGAUGGUGAACUAUGC